rnacentral:rRNA from 1 species
UACGAAGGGGGCGAGCGUUGUUCGGAUUUACUGGGCGUAAAGGGCGCGUAGGCGGCACCGCAAGUCGACUGUGAAAUCUCCGGGCUUAACUCGGAAAGGUCAGCCGAUACUGCGGGGCUAGAGUGCAGAAGGGGGCAACUGGAAUUCUCGGUGUAGCGGUGAAAUGCGUAGAUAUCGAGAGGAACACCUGCGGCGAAGGCGGGUUGCUGGGCUGACACUGACGCUGAUGCGCGAAAGCGUGGGGGAGCGAUCCGG